UACGAAGGAUGCGAGCGUUAUCCGGAUUUAUUGGGUUUAAAGGGUGCGUAGGCGGCGAGUUAAGUCAGCGGUAAAAGCCCGGGGCUCAACCCCGGCCCGCCGUUGAAACUGGCUGGCUUGAGUUGGGGAAAGGCAGGCGGAAUGCGCGGUGUAGCGGUGAAAUGCAUAGAUAUCGCGCAGAACCCCGAUUGCGAAGGCAGCCUGCCGGCCCCACACUGACGCUGAGGCACGAAAGCGUGGGUAUCGAACAGG
rnacentral:rRNA from 1 species